rnacentral:rRNA from 1 species
UACGUAGGUGGCGAGCGUUGUCCGGAUUUACUGGGCGUAAAGGGAGCGUAGGCGGACUUUUAAGUGAUAUGUGAAAUACUCGGGCUCAACUUGAGUGCUGCAUUUCAAACUGGAAGUCUAGAGUGCAGGAGAGGAGAAUGGAAUUCCUAGUGUAGCGGUGAAAUGCGUAGAGAUUAGGAAGAACACCAGUGGCGAAGGCGAUUCUCUGGACUGUAACUAACGCUGAGGCUCGAAAGCGUGGGGAGCAAACAGG